rnacentral:rRNA from 1 species
GACGAACGCUGGCGGCGUGCCUAAUACAUGCAAGUAGAGCGCAGUUGCGAACGGGUGAGUAAGGCGUAGGUGAAUACCUAUUAGAGGGGGAUAAAUAGUGGAAACGAUAGCUAAUACCGCAUACUAGUAGAUGGACCUGCGGUGUAUUAGCUAGUAGGGAGGGUAAUGGCCUACCUAGGCAACGAUACAUAGCCGAACUGAGAGGGUGAUUGGCCAAACUGGGACUGGGACAACGCCCAGACUCCUACGGGAGGCAGCCGUAGGGAAUCUUCGGGAAUGGGGGGAACCCUGACCGAGCAACGCCGCGGGAGUGAAGAAGGGUUUCGGAUCGUAAAGCUCUGUUGUUAAGGAAGCGGUACUUAACCAGAAAGGGACGGCUAACUACGUGCCAGCAGCCGCGGUAAUUC